rnacentral:rRNA from 1 species
UACGUAGGGUGCAAGCGUUGUCCGGAAUUAUUGGGCGUAAAGAGCUCGUAGGCGGUCUGUCGCGUCUGCUGUGAAAACUCAGGGCUUAACCCUGAGCUUGCAGUGGGUACGGGCAGACUAGAGUGCGGUAGAGGAGAGUGGAAUUCCCGGUGUAGCAGUGAAAUGCGUAGAGAUCGGGGAGGAACAAUCAGUUGCGGAAGGCGGCUCUCUGGACCAGCACUGACACUGAGGCACGAAAGCGUGGG